AUANGACCAUCUUCCUCCCGCCUCUGGAGACACUUUGAUUCUUAUGUGUGGACCUCCACCCAUGAUUCAAUUUGCCUGUCAGCCCAAUCUUGAGCUACUCGGAUAUGCAAAAGAGAGCACAUUUGCUUACUGAACCUGAAGUUAAUUCAUUUAGCAAAUGUCACAGGCUUGGACCUGAUAAAUACACAUUCCAGAGGGGAAAGACUUCAGAAGACCUGUGCCAAUCCUUCAAAAGAGGACACUUUUAUCAAACUAACGCACUUGGCAAAGUACCCCUUUCUGAUGCCUUGCCCAGCCUUAAUAAAGUUUUAUGAAGCUUUUCUCUUUCACUUAAAUAAAAUGUCGGUACAUUUUGUGGA